UGUUAAAAUCUUAAUUUUUGUUUUAUUUGUUGUUAAAUUUAUUAGAAAUAACUUUAAUUUUAGUAUUUUUUAAAGAAUUAAUAUUUUAUAUUUAUAGUUUAAUUUACUGUGAAGGUAAGAUUAUAUUAGUUUAUAAGUAGAAUUAACUUUUUGUACCUUUUGUAUCAGGGUUUAUUAAUUUUAUUUAUUUAUUGAUAAUGAUCCCGAAAUUAAAGGAGUUAUAUUUAAUUGUUAUUUAAUGUUUCAUAAUUAUUGAGAAAUUAAAUAUAGAUGUUAUAUGCUAUUCAUCUUUAAUAUAUCUGGUUCUUUAAUAAUUGAAUUUAAUUCAGGGUUUUAGUUGUUAAUUAUUAAUUUUAUUUUAGUUAACAUUAUGACUUAAAAUUAUUGGGGAUAAGCUCAUUAAUUGUUCUAUAAUUUAUAUAAUAUUAAAAUUUAUUUUGUAGGAUUAGAAAUUUUCAUCUAUUAUAUUUUGUUAUAAUUAUAUAUUUUUUAUAAUUAAUUUAUUAUAAAUUUAGGUCUUUAUUAAGGAUAAUUAUUUAAUAAUAAAUUAUUAGAUAUAAUGAUAAAAUUAGUAGAUUAAUUGUUUUUAAUAUAUAGUAAUUCGGCAAAUUUAUCCUUCACCUGUUUAACAAAAACAUGUCUUGAUGUAAUUUAAUAUUAAGUCUGGCCUGCUCAAUGAUUUUAAUUUAAUAGCCGCAGUAUAUUAACUGUGCAAAGGUAGCAUAAUCAUUUGUCUUUUAAUUGAAGGCUUGUAUGAAUGGUCGGAUGAAGGGAUUACUUUCUUUAUAUUAAAUGUUGAAUUUAAUUUUUGAGUUAAAAAGCUUAAAUUUUUAAGGGGGACGAGAAGACCCUAUAGAAUUUUAUUUUAAAUUGGUUAUUAAGGAGUUUGGAUAUUUAUCUAUUUAAUGAUCAAUUAAAAUUUUGUUGGGGUGACAAUGAGACUAAUUUAACUCUCAUAUUUUAAAUGUUUAAUGAUUUUUAUGUUAAAGAUCCUUCUUUGAGGAUAAUUAGAUUAAAUUACCUUAGGGAUAACAGCGUUAUUUUUUCGGAGAGUUCUUAUUGAUGAAAAAGUUUGCGACCUCGAUGUUGGAUUAAAAUAAGAUUUAAGUGCAGAAGCUUAAUUUCUAGGUCUGUUCGACCUUUAAAUUUUUACAUGAUCUGAGUUCAGACCGGCGUGAGCCAGGUCGGUUUCUAUCUUCUUAUAUUUAGGAUGUGGAUUAGUACGAAAGGACCAUUUACAUUAAAUAAUUUAUUUAAAGUUGAAUUCUUUUA
rnacentral:rRNA from 1 species